rnacentral:lncRNA from 1 species
GCAUUAAUUGAUAAUUAAUCGGAUUUAAAUGUACAAAAAAAUUUAUUUUAUAUAUUUUUUUUGAAAAUAAUUAUAUUUAACUUUUAAUUCAUUAUAUUUUCAUUUUGUCUUUACUUUUUCACAUUUUUUCAAAGAGCAAAACUCAAACUUUCCUCUAGUCUAUCAUUAGCGGUCAACUAUUCAAGGCUAGAAAGUCUCC